CUUCAGUCUUGAUAACCGUUUCUAUCAACUCUAGUGUAAGAAAAACGGAAAAGGAUAUCACUGUAAGACAGGGUCAAGACAUGAAGUUAAAGUGUCAAGACAAACACAAUGAAAGCAGAAAUGGCCAGAUAUUUGCAUGGUUCUUCAAUAGAAACGUGUUUGGAAAAAAUACGAACGUGAUUACAUUUCAAAAAAUUAAAUCCGAAAGGUCUGGACAGUACACCUGCAUGGCAAGCAAUAAAGCUGGUAAAGAUUCUGAUGCUGUAAAUGUUAUUGUGACCUAUCCCCCAAUCGUUUGGACCAAAGAUAUCACAUUUAAUGGAAUAAUCAGACCAAGGACUCUUAAAUGUGACGUUUCAGGUGAACCAAAUACAUACAAUUUCACAUGGCGUCAUUACACUAACAACAACCAGCUGGUCAGAAGGUUUAAUGAUAGUAGCGACGGAGUGCUUAUCUUACCCGAAGGUGAACCAAAUGAUCUUGUUUUCGAAGACAGUGGGUUUUACAUAUGCAACGUAACUAACGGCAUUCCAGACGAUAGUGGAAAAUUGUGGCAGUCGAGAAAGAUCAAAGUGAUAGUUGAAGGUAGACCAGUAUUAGCAAAACCACAAAAGUCAAUGUUCUUUGGUCAUUUUAACGGGACCUCCAGAAUGAGCCUGUUUGUGCUGAGUUCUUCAAAUGUGACUCAAGCAGAAUGGAAAAAUGAAAAUGGAAAUUCCCUUGGACAUUGUCAUUGUAGGAUGACUGUCAAUAAAACAUUGUUUUAUGGGAAAUCAUUUGAUGUACCUGGUUAUAUAUGUGUUUAUCAAGUUCAAAAUACAAGAGAAGAAGAUUUUAAGAACUAUACUGUAGAGUUAGAAAAUCAAAAUGGGAGAACAACUUUCGACAUUUCUCUUGUUUCUUCCCGGGCACCAGAGGUACCUGAAAUAACUGCCGUUUAUCAAAGACAAAAUUAUAUUGUCUUGAAAUGGAAACCAAAAUUUGAUGGGGGUGCACCCCAAGGCUUCAUUGUUCAGUAUCGGAAAAAAAAAGAUGAGAUCUGGGAGUAAAUUUUGAUACAAUCUAACGAAGCAAAGGAUUUUUUCCACAUUUCGAAUCUACAGCCUAGUACCGAAUACGUUCUACGAAUGUUGGCAUUCAACAGAAUAGGAAACAGCUCGUUCACAGUGCAAUCCACUGUACUCACCGACGAUGAGAAGAAAAAUGUCUGGAUACAUUUUAAGUUUUUGUUUCUUUCAAUUGCUGUUCUCUGUCCCGCUUGUUUGAUCAUUUUGUGUUGGCGUUACAGACAAGCAAGGAAAAAUGUGCCUAAUAACUCUCCCCGACGGAAUAGUCACCCUGCGCAAGGUGUUGCAAUUGGAAAUGACACCAAUAUGUCUGCUAACAGAGAUGACGUAUAUUCCUCGAUUGAUAGCCGCAGGCAAAUUUUAGACAAACAACUCGUUACGUACAAAGUCACAGGAAAAGACAAAGGAGGAAACAAAUCAGAUUGUGAAAAUAUAAACCAAAGACGAAACAGGAAUAGAAAGCAUGAUUCUACGAAAUUGAAUUAUAUUGAGAUUGCAUUUGAUCCUGUAACCAUCAAACGUGAAUUUCAAAUUCAUGGAGCUGACAACAGAACGCCGUAUGCAGACAUUGACUUUACAGCGAAAGCAGAUCCGAUUAUAAGUUCAGACGAAAGUGAAGACAGUUCGUCUCUGAAUGAGAACAAUGAGAAUGAUUUUGUGUCUCUGGAAGAUGUUCAGCAAUGGAACAUUCAUAUUGAAUGAAUAUCAUAUUUCAUGUAUGAUAUUCACCCUAAAUUGCUCUACGAGCAUGGCUCAGCCCUUGGAUAUAUGUUGGUGAAUGCAAAAUAUAAAUAAUUUACAUCUAUUAUACCAUGUCUGUCUAGAAAUUUCUUCCUAACUACAUAAUUCAUUGUUGUAUAUUCUUUGGUCAUAUGUAAACACUGAAUAACGAUUGAAUUCAACUGCACAGCUAUAAUAAAACCCCGCUCCAAAGGAGGGGUUAUACCGUUUUGCCCCUGUCUGUCAGUUCGCCCAAUGUGAUUUUUGUCGUAAUAAUUGGAGAUUUCACAGCCAACGAUAAUCAAGUUCCCGUUUACCGAAUAUUCUUACACAUAAUAGCCACGUAUAAAACGUUCGUUGCAUUUU